CCCACACGCAGGCAGGCAGACCACGGAAUCCUAGCACUCAGCAAUGCGAUCCAAAACGGACCACCUGCUGGAGCCUGGAGUAGGAGGGGUCUAGGACUAGGAGCAGGAGCAGUAGGUAGGGGGCAGCGGCAAUGGCGAUGGCGAGAUCCAGGGAGCAGGCCCCCCGCUGAGCUGCAGCGCGGUGACUUCUAGAACAGCUCGUGGUCUCUAUCAAUGGCCUCCCUCCCUCCACCUUUUUCCCUUUUAUCUUUGCCUUUUGUUUGGAGUUGGAGGCAGCUCAAUUCGUAAUACUGACGCGCUCGAUCUUUCAACCAUGUUUGUUUAAGCCGGCAGGCAUGAGGGGCCAAAAAAAACAGUGCCCAGUAAAGCCAGUUUUAUGCUGCCGUUACAGUGGCGUUUUCUUUCUCUCUAUUCACUUAAGCUCGUUGCCUCUGUUUUUUCAAGAAUGGGAGUGAGUGAGACAUCAUCAAAAUAACAAAAACUGAAAAUUGGGUAAGAAUUGGCUGAAAUCUCUAAAUCAUGACGGAAACUGAUGUUACUGUUUGCAAUUUUUUUUCUCAGGGCCGGGAGUCAUCACUUUCUUUUUGUCGCUGGAUCGAGCAAUUGUCUAGUAUUAUAUUAGCGGUCCUUUUUGGUAGGUGUUGAUUGGGUUUGAUUAUUACGUUGAGUGCUAAGGAGAUCUAUCCAAAUGUACAUGUCUUUUGUACUCAUUUUUUAAUUGAAUCGCAGUGGAGUAGAUUAGUGUACCGACUCUUCCCAAUGAGCUGUUAAGGAUCAGCUCUCAGCUUUGCAUUUGACCGGGUUUUGAUGCGUUUGACCAGGCUAGUCAAGGAAAUACCAAUACCCUUAUUAGGUGGUGAUUAUUAAACAAAAACAGGUAAAAAUCUGUAUUUGAUUGAUGCUGGAAAAUCUACAUGCAUGUCUAGCUUAUUCAUAUCAAGAUGGUAAAUUGACGAAUUAUGGUACCAAGUCACGCCCAACGGUGGAAAUGUAACAUCCAAGGACCAUGCCUUUAGGUUUACCGAAAAGAACAAGUUUUCUGUUGAUUUGACAGAAAUGCAAGAUUCAUGGGUCCUUUUCAAGUCCCUACUACUGUUCUAGGCCCAUGUUUUUGCUUUCUUUCCUUGAUAUCUUUUAAAGUAAUUAAUGGCACAAAAGUGAUUACUACUACUCAGUAGAUAUACAGUAAAAAAUAUUUUUGUUAGAACGUAAAAAAAAAGAUGUUGGGAUACCUCCCAUCCAGUCUCUUGGUUCUUGAAUGACCUUGAUGGGCCCAAAUUCCCAAGUGAAAUACUGAAAUUCAGCAUCUUGAACAAGGUGCCCCCCCCCCGACCCCCAAAAAAAAAUAGUGCUACUGUGCUACUGUAGCUCUCCCAUUCUAACCAGCUGAUGAAGUGAUCUGGUAAACCCUAAAGCCUCCAGGAUUUGUGCUAAUCAGCACCCCACCAUCUAAGACUAAUUUCAAUAGAAGUUUUAUUUGCAUAUAAUAGGUUGUCACAUAAGUAUUUAUUAUGACAUGACAAUGUUUGUAAGAAUCUUAGACGUGAACUUUAUGUAGAUGAAACUCUCUUGUCUUGGUUUUCAACUCUAAAUGAGCCAUAUAACUAAAUGUCUAAAUUUAAAGAAUAAAACUAUAUAUAGUGAUUGUUUCGUCUGUCUCAUUGCAUUCUAUGUUUUUACACACAACGCAUGAAGAAACUCUUCACUAAAAAUGGUCGGAAAAAAAUCACAUUUAGUAAUACACUGAUACUAGCUGUAACUGUGACUUUUGAGAGUGCAAUACUCACUGAAGAUUAGCUGGCGAGAUCGAGUGAGUUUCCUUUUGGGUGCUUUAGGAGGAGGGGGCACAUGAGUCAUGGCCCGACGAGCAGAAGACAGUAGGUGGCAGCCACGUGAAGCUUGCAUCUGCUGCAAUCUUCCUGCCUUUGUUUUGUGUUACAGAAUGCCCAGGUCCAAACUGUAGUGUGCCAUGACAUGAUGCUAAUUUGGACCCUGCACGCGCCAUGUGAAUGAUGUUUCAGCUCAUCCUUUUUCCAUGUAUACAUAUAUAAUUUUAUCCUUAGCUAAUGGUCGGUGGAAAUGUUAACUGUACCUGUACUAUUUUUCUAAACUGAUCAGCUCCUGUAAUCUUGUCUUGAUGAUGAGCUGCAAAGGUACUGCAUGUUUGUUUUACUUGGGAAGCUUUUGUCAGUCGUGUCACUGCAAGAGAAUCUAGGUAUGUUACAUAAUAUUUUACUACUACUUUGCACAGUAUAGUAAAACUGUCCACGCUUAUAUAUGACCAUUCAGGACCUACAAAAAAUCACUUCUUCAUACGAAGAAAUUAAGGAGCCUCGCAUCAUCAUUAUAACAGUUUGUCUGUUUCUUAGCAAUACUACGGAUUGUUGAAUGAAUUGUGUACUCCAAUAUAUACGUAUAUAUGGUACUAUCCAAUUAAUGUGAGCUGCACAUAAAACAGUAAUCAAUUUAAUUAAUUCCAGAAUCCCUGCUGAAUUAAUUAUUAUAUGUAACUUACACGUACCAGCGACAACAGUUAUCAGCUUUGCUUGAGAUCAAAGUAAGAUGAUGCGGAUGAGAAUGGAUGAAGAAGCAGCUUCAGCUAGUACUACGUACACUCAUUACCAUCAAUCAGUCAGUUCCAUAAUUUGCCAGUGUCCUCGGUACCAGUAGGUCACCAACUCUAACGGUUUCCAUUUCUCCUCUGCUGGCUUUAUAUUAUCUAUACGUCACAUACUAUGCUUCAGUCAACUAGUCAACCUUGUUAUGCAUGCAUCUUUAUAUUAAUUAUCUGUGUACACCGUAUAGCAGGUUCACCAAUACACACACAAAAUGCUGGAGCUGCAAAAGGAAAUCUUGGAGAUUAAUUUGGUGGUGGCGGGAAAAUCUCUAUAUAGCUUUUAGCUGCGAUGUCAACAAUGAAGUCGAAUUUCUUUCCCUCAAAGAAAAAAAAUAAUGUCAAAUUUCUUGAGAAACAAGCUCUUUCUUUUUUCCUUUUCUUUUUCCUGCUUUGCAGCCAUGUUCGCUUGAACUUAUUAAUACUACUUUCUAGUUAUGGAAUAGAGUAAAUUGCACGAUCGGUC